UGGGGAAUAUUGGACAAUGGGCGCAAGCCUGAUCCAGCCAUGCCGCGUGAGUGAUGAAGGCCCUAGGGUUGUAAAGCUCUUUCACCGGUGAAGAUAAUGACGGUAACCGGAGAAGAAGCACCGGCUAACUACGUGCCAGCAGCCGCGGUAAUACGUAGGGUGCGAGCGUUGUCCGGAAUUACUGGGCGUAAAGGGCUCGUAGGUGGUUUGUCGCGUCGUCUGUGAAAUUCCGGGGCUUAACUCCGGGCGUGCAGGCGAUACGGGCAUAACUUGAGUACUGUAGGGGUAACUGGAAUUCCUGGUGUAGCGGUGAAAUGCGCAGAUAUCAGGAGGAACACCGAUGGCGAAGGCAGGUUACUGGGCAGUUACUGACGCUGAGGAGCGAAAGCAUGGGUAGCGAACAGG
rnacentral:rRNA from 1 species